GUCCACGCAGUAAACGAUGAAUGCUCGCUGUCCGGGACUACGGUCCUGGGUGGCCCAGCGAAAGCGAUAAGCAUUCCACCUGGGGAGUACGCCGGCAACGGUGAAACUCAAAGGAAUUGACGGGGGCCCGCACAAGCGGAGGAACAUGUGGUUUAAUUCGAUGAUACGCGAGGAACCUUACCCGGGCUCAAACGUUUCAGGACGAUGCUCGAAAGAGUAUUUCCCUUCGGGGUCUGAGACGAGGUGCUGCAUUGUUGUCGU
rnacentral:rRNA from 1 species